AUUGAACGCUGGCGGCAGGCCUAACACAUGCAAGUCGAGCGGAGCGGCGAACGGGUGAGUAAUGCAUAGGAAUCUGCCCGGUAGUGGGGGAUAACGUCCGGAAACGGGAGCUAAUACCGCAUACUAUCAGAUGAGCCUAUGUCGGAUUAGCUAGUUGGUGGGGUAAAGGCCUACCAAGGCGACGAUCCGUAACUGGUCUGAGAGGAUGAUCAGUCACACUGUAACUGAGACACGGUCCAGACUCCGACGGGAGGCAGCAGUGGGGAAUAUUGGACAAUGGGCGAAAGCAUGAUCCAGCCAUGCCGCGUGUGUGAAGAAGGUCUUCGGGUUGUAAAGCACUUUUAGUUGGGAGGCGUUACCAGCAGAAUAAGCACCGGCUAACUUCGUGCCAGCAGCCGCGGUAAUAC
rnacentral:rRNA from 1 species